rnacentral:rRNA from 1 species
CAAGGAAUCAAGUUAUAUACUUAAGGUAGAAAAAAGUGGUAAGACAAAUUAUUUGUUAAAAAUUUCAUUUGUAGAAGUAAAAUACGAGCAUAUGAAAAUGUAUUAAUAAAACAUAUAUGUUGAUCUACGAUAAUCUCGAGGGAAACUAGGAUUAGAUACCCUAUUAUUCUUGAUUUUAAAUUAACUUAGUUUACCUGAGUACUACGAAUUCUAAAAAUUUAAAACUCAAAGAGCUUGGCGGUGUUUUAGACCCUUCAGGGGAACCUGUCUCGUAAUCGACAAUCCGCGCUAAACCUUACCUUUGUUUGUAUUCAGUUUGUAUACCGUUGUCGUCAGGUAACUUUUAAAAAUAUAGAAAUUAGCAAAUUAACUUUUUAAGUUAAAACGUCAAAUCAUGGUGCAGCUUAUAUAAAGGUGAAGAUGGGUUACAAUUAAUAUUUAUAAUGACGGAAAAAUAAUAUAAAAUUAUUUUGAAGGAGGACUUGAAAGUAAAAUAAAUUAUUAAAGUAUUUUGAAUUUGGCUCUGAAACGUGCACACAU